rnacentral:rRNA from 1 species
AGCGAACGCUGGCGGCAGGCCUAACACAUGCAAGUCGAACGAACUCUUCGGAGUUCGUGGCGGACGGGUGAGUAACACGUGGGAACGUGCCUUUUGGUUCGGAAUAACUCAGGGAAACUUGUGCUAAUACCGAAUGUGCCCUUCGGGGGAAAGAUUUAUCGCCAUUAGAGCGGCCCGCGUCUGAUUAGCUAGUUGGUGAGGUAACGGCUCACCAAGGCGACGAUCAGUAGCUGGUCUGAGAGGAUGACCCGCCACACUGGGACUGAGACACGGCCCAGACUCCUACGGGAGGCAGCAGUGGGGAAUCUUGCGCAAUGGGCGAAAGCCUGACGCAGCCAUGCCGCGUGAAUGAUGAAGGUCUUAGGAUUGUAAAAUUCUUUCACCGGGGACGAUAAUGACGGUACCCGGAGAAGAAGCCCCGGCUAACUUCGUG